AUGUAUCUGACCAGCGGGGCCCGCAUGUCAACAGCCAACUUGGCAUAUUUUUUUUCAGAAAACCCCUUUGUUAUAAAUUUAAUCGCUCGCACGACGCCCGCAUGCACGCCGCAGCCCAACCGCUGCCCCCCACCCCCCUCCCUCGAGCUCGCCGCCGCCUCCGGCCGCCCCGCCCCGCCCCGCCUCGGCGAGAUGGAGACGGCCCGGGCCCCCGCCGCCCCCGCGACGUCCAGGCCGCGCACCGUGGAGGCCAUCUUCAGGGACUUCUCCGCGCGCCGCUCCGGCCUCGUCCGCGCGCUCACCUCCGGUGAGUACCCGACCGACCGACCGCGUCCCCUUCCCUUCUCCUCCCUCCCUCAUCCCCUUUGCCCCUCUCGUAGCGCCGCGCUGACGGGCCACCCGCGCGCGCCGCAGAUCUAA
rnacentral:rRNA from 1 species